GACGUAGGGCGCGAGCGUUUGUCCGGAUUUAUUGGGCGUAAAGAGCUCGUAGGCGGUUUGUCGCGUCUGCUGUGAAAACUGGAGGCUCAACCUCCAGCCUGCAGUGGGUACGGGCAGACUAGAGUGCGGUAGGGGGAGAUUGGAAUUCCUGGUGUAGCGGUGGAAUGCGCAGAUAUCAGGAGGAACACCGAUGGCGAAGGCAGAUCUCUGGGCCAUAACUGACGCUGAGGAGCGAAAGCAUGGGGAGCGAACAGG
rnacentral:rRNA from 1 species